rnacentral:pre_miRNA from 1 species
AUUGGCUGACCCACAGCAGUUCUUCACUGGCAAGCUUUAUGUUCUCAUGUACCAGCUAAAGCUGCCAGCUGAAGAACUGUUGUGGUCAGCUGUU